AUUCCGGUUGAUCCUGCCGGAGGCCAUUGCUAUUGGAGUCCGAUUUAGCCAUGCUAGUCGCACGAGUUCAGACUCGUGGCGAACAGCUCAGUAACACGUGGCCAAUCUCCCCCACAGCGACGGACACCCUCGGGAAACUGAGGCCAAUCCGCCAUACACCUCUCACGCUGGAGUGCCGAGAGGCUCAAACGCUCUUCGGAGUGCUGUGGGAUGAGGCUGCGGCCGAUUAGGUAGACGGUGGGGUAACGGCCCACCGUGCCCAUAAUCGGUACGGGUCGUGAAAGCGAGAACCCGGAGACGGAAUCUGAGACAAGAUUCCGGGCCCUACGGGGCGCAGCAGGCGCGAAACCUUUUACACUGCACGCCAGUGCGAUAAGGGGACUCC
rnacentral:rRNA from 1 species